rnacentral:rRNA from 1 species
GACGAACGCUGGCGGCGUGCCUAAUACAUGCAAGUCGAGCGGAAGUUGAAGAGCUUGCUCUUCAACUUUAGCGGCGGACGGGUGAGUAACACGUGGGCAACCUGCCCUGCAGAUCGGGAUAACUCCGGGAAACCGGUGCUAAUACCGAAUAGUUUUCGCCACCUCCUGGUUGCUUACGGAAAGACGGUUUCGGCUGGCACUUCAGGAUGGGCUCGCGGCGCAUUAGCUAGUUGGUGGGGUAACGGCCCACCAAGGCGACGAUGCGUAGCCGACCUGAGAGGGUGAUCGGCCACACUGGGACUGAGACACGGCCCAGACUCCUACGGGAGGCAGCAGUAGGGAAUCUUCCGCAAUGGACGAAAGUCUGACGGAGCAACGCCGCGUGAGUGACGAAGGUUUUCGGAUCGUAAAACUCUGUUGUGAGGGAAGAACAAGUACCAACUAACUACUGGUACCUUGACGGUACCUCACCAGAAAGCCACGGCUAACUACGUGCCAGCAGCCGCGGUAACAC